rnacentral:siRNA from 1 species
AUGCACCGGCUUGAUGAGAUUACA